UUCUCAACCACCCACAUGACUAGGUCAAGAACCAUGAUGGAAGAUCCUACCAUGACCAACACCCUGCCUAUGGUGACUGGCCCUGGGUCUAUGGUAUGUGCAUCACAUGUUACAACCCAUCACCUUGCGCAUCACAUGCAUAAGGCAGCAAUUCCAUGAAAAUUUCAGAUUAUCAGGUCUAGCCCAAACUUGUCACACA
rnacentral:lncRNA from 1 species